rnacentral:lncRNA from 1 species
UGUAAUUUUCAUAUGGAGAUUGAACAAAAGGUUAUCCAUAGCAUUUUUUAUUGACUGGAAAGAAUUUGACUUCUUGAAUGCAUAAGACUUGAGAAGAGAAGUUCUUUUUUUUUUUUCUUUUUUUUGAUAAGUCCCCUACCAUUGCCUCCUCACCUUCCUCCACUACGUGCUAGGCCCUUCGCUGGUACUGGGAAGACAAAGAUAAUAAGACACAGUCCCUGCUGUGAGGAAGCUCAUGCACUACUGAAGAAGAGAUUCACAAAAACAAAGAAUCACAAUGUAGAAUGGGGAUACUUCCAGGCAGAAGCAAGAAAAGUAAAGCUGGAUGAGAAACUCUUAUUGUCUUUAUUACCCAGCAAAUUCAGUAACCACCAGGCACAAAUUCACCAGGAACAACCAAGCAAGGAAGGAAGGAGAAGAAGCUGAUGCAACAAGGUGUAGUAUGACUUCAUCCCUCGCCCAUCCCCAGAAGUAGCACUGAGUAAAACAAUGGAGAUGACAAAAAUAUUGGUAACAGUGGGCCCCAGUAUGGACAAAGGCACUGACGAGGUGACCAGGCCACGUGGAGGAGAGUCAAGGAAAACUCUUGGGACAACGAAGUCUUUGCUUCCAUCUCAGACCUCAGCAGAAGGGUAAGAUUCACCAGGACUAGGCAUUUCCCAGGUCUCAGAGCAGCCUGGGAAAGCCAAAUCCUGCAGAGUCAGAGACACCUUUGACUGUGUCUAGUGAGUUCUGGUUCUGGACAUUUAAUGGGAACCUAGAAGAGAGGGG